rnacentral:rRNA from 1 species
UGGUUAAAAAGCUCGUAGUUGGAUCUCGGCGGUCUGAGGGCGGUUCGCUUGAUUGAGUGCUACUGCUCUAUAUGGCCGUGGUUUUGCCAGAGGUCUCGGGGUGCUCUUAACCGAGUGUCCUGCGAUGCUGGCAGGUUUACUUUGAAAAAAUUAGAGUGCUCAAAGCAGGCUUUUACGCCUGAAUAUUCGUGCAUGGAAUAAUAUAAUAGGAAGUCGUUUCUAUUUUGUUGGUUUUCGAAAAUCGACUUAAUGAUUAAUAGGGACAGUCGGGGGCAUUUGUAUUCAAACGACAGAGGUGAAAUUCCUGGACCGUUUGAAGACAAACUACUGCGAAAGCAUUUGCCAAGAAUGUU